rnacentral:snoRNA from 1 species
AUCCCAUGAUGAGGACAGGCGUGAAUGUACUCAUUCAGAUGUUCCCAUGCUUCAGGAAUCGUCUCGUUGGUCUGUUGUUGGAAGCUCUAAAUCUUCCCAUAGGGCAC